CGGAGGAGGAGGGAUUUGAACCCUCGAAGGAGGUUAUUACCCCCUUAAUCGCUUAGCAGGCGAUCGCCUUCGGCCAACCUAGGCUACUCCUCC
rnacentral:tRNA from 1 species